UGCCUUAGUAACGGCGAGUGAAGCGGCAAAAGCUCAAAUUUGAAAUCUGGUACCUUCGGUGCCCGAGUUGUAAUUUGGAGAGGGCAACUUUGGGGCCGUUCCUUGUCUAUGUUCCUUGGAACAGGACGUCAUAGAGGGUGAGAAUCCCGUGUGGCGAGGAGUGCGGUUCUUUGUAAAGUGCCUUCGAAGAGUCGAGUUGUUUGGGAAUGCAGCUCUAAGUGGGUGGUAAAUUCCAUCUAAAGCUAAAUAUUGGCGAGAGACCGAUAGCGAACAAGUACAGUGAUGGAAAGAUGAAAAGAACUUUGAAAAGAGAGUGAAAAAGUACGUGAAAUUGUUGAAAGGGAAGGGCAUUUGAUCAGACAUGGUGUUUUGUGCCCUCUGCUCCUUGUGGGUAGGGGAAUCUCGCAUUUCACUGGGCCAGCAUCAGUUUUGGUGGCAGGAUAAAUCCAUAGGAAUGUAGCUUGCCUCGGUAAGUAUUAUAGCCUGUGGGAAUACUGCCAGCUGGGACUGAGGACUGCGACGUAAGUCAAGGAUGCUGGCAUAAUGGUUAUAUGCCGCCCGUCUUAACACCCGAAACAA
rnacentral:rRNA from 1 species